GACGAACGCUGGCGGCGUGCUUAACACAUGCAAGUCGAACGGAAAGGCCCUGCUUUUGUGGGGUGCUCGAGUGGCGAACGGGCGAGUAACACGUGAGUAACCUGCCCUUGACUUUGGGAUAACUUCAGGAAACUGGGGCUAAUACCGGAUAGGAGCUCCUGCUGCAUGGUGGGGGUUGGAAAGUUUCGGCGGUUGGGGAUGGACUAGCGGCUUAUCAGCUUGUUGGUGGGGUAGUGGCUUACCAAGGCUUUGACGGGUAGCCGGCCUGAGAGGGUGACCGGCCACAUUGGGACUGAGAUACGGCCCAGACUCCUACGGGAGGCAGCAGUGGGGAAUAUUGCACAAUGGGCGGAAGCCUGAUGCAGCAACGCCGCGUGCGGGAUGACGGCCUUCGGGUUGUAAACCGCUUUCGCCUGUGACGAAGCGUGAGUGACGGUAAUGGGUAAAGAAGCACCGGCUAACUACGUG
rnacentral:rRNA from 1 species